CUCUUCCAGGAGGAUAAUGUGUAGCUAUGCACGCGUGAAUUACCGAGUCGCAUGCGAUCGCUCGACUUGUGGGCUUGGAAAAAUGUGCAAUAAUCCUGUUUUUAUGAAUUAUACAAAGUAACAUUCAUGCCACACGCGAGCCUUGCGAAAUUUAAAUACCAAAUCACUAGAAAAGUUUCAGGAUAAUGUAAGCGCCUGCGAAAACUUCCGUGUAUUCUGCAACGACAACGCGAUGCUAGAUGCGUGCGCAACUUCCACUGUUCGCCGUGGAAUACGUGACUAUUUUCACGCAUCGUGAGGCUCAUAUUGAAUUUGUCACGCAGUGUCCUUAAAAUCUCCACGAUUACGCCGCACGUAAACAAGAUGGAGAUUUAACACUUUCGGAACUUUCCUAUCUGCUACGAUUCAUAGACACACAUCGUGAGUUUUUGUUUUGUUGUUUCACAAACAUGAGAGCUAGAAAUGAGGACGACUGAAUAAUGCAGAUGCGAAUGUGUUCGAGGGUGUAAAAAAAUUUUGCAAACCUGUUUUUGUGCGCUCUUUAAAAUCGAACGCCCAAUGCGCAAAUGAUUAUUAUUACGAAUAGCUAAUGCGCUGUUUGUCUCAUAAUUGACGGAGCGGAUACGUGACAAGCGCUUAAUUAAGUUGUACUUUGUUCAUUCGAGGUGGAGAAGGUGUGCAAUUGCAGAAACGUUGAUCAUUUUUUAAAAUACAAAGAAUGAUUAAGUAGUCGGUGGACUCUAAUUUUAAAUAUGUGAAUUAUUGAUCGUUAAUAAAAGAUAUUUAAUUUUAA